GACGAACGCUGGCGGCGUGCUUAACACAUGCAAGUCGAACGGAAAGGCCCUGCUUUUGUGGGGUGCUCGAGUGGCGAACGGGUGAGUAACACGUGAGUAACCUGCCCUUGACUUUGGGAUAACUUCAGGAAACUGGGGCUAAUACCGGAUAGGAUCUCCUGCUCCAUGGUGGGGGUUGGAAAGUUUCGGCGGUUGGGGAUGGACUCGCGGCUUAUCAGCUUGUUGGUGGGGUAGGGGCUUACCAAGGCUUUGACGGGUAGCCGGCCUGAGAGGGUGACCGGCCACAUUGGGACUGAGAUACGGCCCAGACUCCUACGGGAGGCAGCAGGGGGGAAUAUUGCACAAUGGGCGGAAGCCUGAUGCAGAAACGCCGCGUGCGGGAUGACGGCCUUCGGGUUGUAAACCGCUGUCGCCUGUGACGAAGCGUGAGUGACGGUAAUGGGUAAAGAAGCACCGGCUAACUACGUG
rnacentral:rRNA from 1 species